UCUCAUAACCUGUAGGCCAGCCACUGGAACUAGCAAACCUGGUCGUCUGCUCGCUUAACUCUCCUUUCGUUGAACCGAUGAGAGAAGUUAACUUUGAAUCCAUACAAAAGGGCGGUCAGUGAGAGGGAGUAUGGGGUAUCUCAGAGUAGUCGCAGCGGUUUGGAUGGCUCUUCUAGCGCUUGCCGUCCUCUCCUUCCUCCAUCAACAACCUACAGCUGCUGGCGCCAUCAGGCUGCACGAUGACCGGAGACCGACGCCGGUUAGAGGAACGAGUACAACGACGACGGAUGGGAUGCCUUGGUUGUGGAAUCAGGAUUACGCUCGUGUAAGCGAUCGAAGACCCAUUAACAACAGGUUCAUUCCAUGAGUGGAAGAGGGCGCGAACUUAGUAUCUCGUAAGUUGCGCUGAUAGAAAUCUGCAGUUCAUAUAGUACGUAUAGUUUUGGGUUAGCAGUUCUCAUAUAUUCUCAAGAUGUUUAGUACGUGAAUGCAAUACUUAACCCAAUCCCAUGGAAAAAGGAAUACAGUGUUCUUGAUUUGGUUCUUGUUUUCUCUCAUUUCACCAUGCUCGAAUCCA